ACGUCAGCCUCUGCACUUCUUCCUCGCCCUCAAGCGCUGGCAGGAGAGAAAAACUGUGCGUCCGCAUCUGACCGGCGCACCUCCGCGAUCUCCCUCCACCUCCGCGAUCUCCCUCCACCUCUUCUCUCUGUGCUGCAACAUACAAGCAGCAGUGGCCACAACCAGGCAUGGGGACGGAGGAACAGCUGCAGCCACGCAUGGGCGCGAGCAACGGCAGAGGCCACAUCCACGCAUUUGGGCGCGAGCAGGAGCACCGGCCACGCACGGGCACGCGAGCUGCCGUCUGCUCCAGAGCACGGACGCACCGCAACAGGGGCAGGGGCGCGAGCAGCGGCAGCGUCCACGCGGCCACUGGAGCAUCCUCGCACCCUCCUACCUCGCCGCCCAGAUCCCACUUUACUUCACAUGGGCGGUGGCAACGACGAGCACAAGAAGGCAAGUCGUCCGGCGACCACAAGGAGAAGAAGGACAAGAAGCACGGCGAGGGCCACAAGGACGGCAAUAGCCACAACAACAACAGCAACAGCGACAACAACUGAGCGAGCUUCGGCCGCGCUCCGGCAGCGUGCGGGUACGAAUGGUGGUCACCGUCAUCAUUGCAGGUGAGGUGAAGGCUUGGGUGAAUUUGAGCGUGUAGUAGCUUAUGUAUGUAAUGCGUGACAUGUCUCAUGGAUCUUGUGAUGUAAUAACCGGUUGCAUUGCACUGCAUGGUGCUUGUAAUAAUAAGGUUAUGGAAUCAUGUUGGUAUUGAUGUAUCUCCAUUGGUAGUUUGGUAUCACCAUAUUUUUCAACCUUUUUGUGUAUGUAUGUGGUGUCUCUGUUCAUCUCUGGAUCUCUCGGCCAGAGCUUGAUUAACGGCUGGGAUCAUUUAGGAAUGGUUAUUGGUGUUCUGUUUUUUCCUCUUUUCAGCUUCAGAACCUGUGUGGCGCUCUGUUUUCUUUCA